UACGUAGGGGGCAAGCGUUAUCCGGAUUUACUGGGUGUAAAGGGGGCGCAGACGGCGAUGCAAGCCAGGAGUGAAAGCCCGGGGCCCAACCCCGGGACUGCUCUUGGAACUGCGUGGCUGGAGUGCAGGAGGGGCAGGCGGAAUUCCUGGUGUAGCGGUGAAAUGCGUAGAUAUCAGGAGGAACACCGGUGGCGAAGGCGGCCUGCUGGACUGCAACUGACGUUGAGGCUCGAAGGCGUGGGGAGCAAACAGG
rnacentral:rRNA from 1 species